AAAUUGAAGAGUUUGAUCAUGGCUCAGAUUGAACGCUGGCGGCAGGCCUAACACAUGCAAGUCGAACGGUAACAGGAAGCAGCUUGCUGCUUCGCUGACGAGUGGCGGACGGGUGAGUAAUGUCUGGGAAACUGCCUGAUGGAGGGGGAUAACUACUGGAAACGGUGGCUAAUACCGCAUAACGUCGCAAGACCAAAGAGGGGGACCUUCGGGCCUCUUGCCAUCAGAUGUGCCC
rnacentral:rRNA from 4 species